rnacentral:rRNA from 1 species
GAUCAUGGCUCAGGAUUAACGCUGGCGGCGUGCCUAAUACAUGCAAGUCGGAUGGUAGCAAUACCAUGGCGAACGGGUGAGUAACACGUAGGUAACCUGUCUUAAAGACGAGAAUAACCAUUGGAGACGAUGGAUAAUGCUGGAUAGGAUAAUUUAAGGCAUCUUGAAUUAUUUAAAGAUUUAUCACUUUAAGAGGGGCCUGCGGCGCAUUAGCUAGUUGGGGAGGUAAUAGCUCACCAAGGCCGAUGAUGCGUAGCCGGACUGAGAGGUUGAACGGCCACAAUGGAACUGAGAACGGUCCAUACUCCUACGGGAGGCAGCAGUAGGGAAUUUUCGGCAAUGGGCGGAAGCCUGACCGAAGCAACGCCGCGUGAUUGAAGAAGUAUUUCGGUAUGUAAAGAUCUUUUAUUAGGGAAGAAAAGACAGAUUGACGGUACCUAAUGAAUAAGCUCCGGCUAACUACGUGCCAGCCGCUGC